UAACACCUGGAAACAGAUGCUAAUACCGGAUACAACAGAUGAUGCCUAUCAACUGUUUAAAAGAUGGUUCUGCUAUCACUCUUGGAUGGACCUGCGGUGCAUUAGCUAGUUGGUAGGGUAACGGCCUACCAAGGCGAUGAUGCAUAGCCGAGUUGAGAGACUGAUCGGCCACAUUGGGACUGAGACACGGCCCAAACUCCUACGGGAGGCAGCAGUAC
rnacentral:rRNA from 1 species